rnacentral:rRNA from 1 species
AGCUCCAAUAGCGUAUAUUAAAGUUGUUGCAGUUAAAAAGCUCGUAGUUGGAUCUCGGGAGCAGGCCGGCGGUCCGCCUCGCGGCGGUUAAUGCCCUUCCCGCCCCUCCUGCCGGGUUUUCCCCCGGGCUCCUUCUUGGGGGCCCCCGGGUGGCCGGAACGUUUACUUUGAAAAAAUUAGAGUGUUCAAAGCAGGCAGUUCGCCUGAAUAAUGGUGCAUGGAAUAAUGGAAUAGGACCUCGGUUCUAUUUUGUUGGUUUUCGGAACUUGAGGUAAUGAUUAAGAGGGACAGACGGGGGCAUUCGUAUUACACUGUUAGAGGUGAAAUUCUUGGAUCGGUGUAAGACGAACUACUGCGAAAGCAUUUGCCAAGAAUGUUUUCA